rnacentral:rRNA from 1 species
GUGAGGAAUAUUGCGCAAUGGAGGCAACUCUGACGCAGCCAUGCCGCGUGCAGGAAGAAGGCGCUACGCGUUGUAAACUGCUUUUAACCGGGAAGAAACCCCAGGACGUGUCCUGGGUUGACGGUACCGGAGGAAUAAGCACCGGCUAACUUCGUGCCAGCAGCCGCGGUAUACGAAGGGUGCAAGCGUUAUCCGGAUUCAUUGGGUUUAAAGGGUGCGUAGGCGGAGCGUUAAGUCAGUGGUGAAAUCCUGCAGCUUAACUGUAGACUUGCCAUUGAUACUGGCGCUCUUGAGUGCGCUUGAAGUGGGCGGAAUGUGCCGUGUAGCGGUGAAAUGCUUAGAUAUGGCACAGAACACCAAUUGCGAAGGCAGCUCACUAAGGCGAUACUGACGCUGAGGCACGAAAGCGUGGGGAUCGAACAGGAUUAGAAACCCGUGUAGUCC